rnacentral:rRNA from 1 species
CUAGUUGUAUUAACUAUUAGUUAAUGCAAGAUCGACUACGUCGACUAAAGUUCUAGGUAGAAUAAUGAUGAUGACAAUUUUUUAUCUAUAUGUCUUGACCAAGUCUCGUGCCAGCAGUCGCGGUAAUACGUGGAAGACUAGUGUUAUUCAUCUUUAAUAGGUUUAAAGGGUACCUAGACGGUAUUUCUAGCCCAAAAUAGGGUACGGAUUUACUAGAGUUUUAUGUGAGGAGGGGAGUACUUAUGGAGUAGAGAUGAAAUUUUGUGAUACUAUGAGGAAACUGGUGGCGGCGAAAGCAACCUUCUAUGUAUAAACUGACGUUGAGGGACGAAGGCUUGGGUAGCAAAUAGGAUUAGAUACCCUAGUAGUCCAAGCAGACAAUUCUGAAUGCCAUAGAUUAGAUUAUUUUUGGUCUAUAAAUGAAAGUGUAAGCAUUCCACCUUAGGAGUAAUGUGGCAACACAGGAACUGAAAUCAUUAGACCGUUUCUGAAACCAGUAGUGAAGUAUGUUAUUUAAUUUGAUGGUCCACAAAAAACCUUACCACAACUUGAAUAUUAUUAAAUUAAUACAAGCGUUGCACGGCUGUCUUCAGUUAAUGUCGUGAGAUUUUGGUUAACUCCAUUAAUUAACGUAAACCCUUACUUUA